AUUGAACGCUGGCGGCAGGCCUAACACAUGCAAGUCGAGCGGAGCGGCGGACGGGUGAGUAAUGCCUAGGAAUCUGCCUUGUAGUGUGGGAUCACUUCCGGAAACGGGCGCUCAUACCGCAUACUAUCAGAUGAGCCUCGGUGUGAUUGGCUAGUUGGUGGGGUAAAGGCCUACCAGGGCGACGCUCCGGAACUGGUCUGAGAGGAUGAUCAGUCACACUGGAACUGAGACACGGUCCAGAAUCCUACGGGAGGCAGCAGUGGGGAAUAUUGGACAAUGGGCGAAAGCCUGAUCCAGCCAUGCCGCGUGGGUGAAGAAGGUCUGCGGAUUGUAAAGCACUUUAAGUUGGGAGGCGUUACCAACAGAAUAAGCACCGGCUAACUUCGUGCCAGCAGCCGCGGUAAUUC
rnacentral:rRNA from 1 species